rnacentral:rRNA from 1 species
CUUUACGGCCAUACCAGCCUGGGUACGCCCGAUCUCGUCUGAUCUCGGAAGCUAAGCAGUGUCGGGCCUGGUUAGUACUUGGAUGGGAGACCGCCUGGGAAUACCAGGUGCUGUAAGCA